rnacentral:piRNA from 1 species
UAGAAAUACCUGUGCAGAAGGUCCAAUGC